rnacentral:rRNA from 1 species
GAUGAACGCUGGCGGCGUGCCUAAUACAUGCAAGUCAAGCGAACAGACGAGGAGCUUGCUCCUCUGACGUUAGCGGCGGACGUGUGAGUAACACGUGGAUAACCUACCUAUAAGACUGGGAUAACUUCGGGAAACCGGAGCUAAUACCGGAUAAUAUAUUGAACCGCAUGGUUCAAUAGUGAAAGACGGUUUUGCUGUCACUUAUAGCUGGAUCCGCGCCGCAUUAGCUAGUUGGUAAGGUAACGGCUUACCAAGGCAACGAUGCGUAGCCGACCUGAGAGGGUGAUCGGCCACACUGGAACUGAGACGCGGUCCAGACUCCUACGGGAGGCAGCAGUAGGGAAUCUUCCGCAAUGGGCGAAAGCCUGACGGAGCAACGCCGCGUGAGUGAUGAAGGUCUUCGGAUCGUAAAACUCUGUUAUUAGGGAAGAACAAAUGUGUAAGUAACUAUGCACGUCUUGACGGUACCUAAUCAGAAAGCCACGGCUAACUACGUG